rnacentral:rRNA from 1 species
UACGUAGGGUGCAAGCGUUGUCCGGAAUUAUUGGGCGUAAAGGAGCUAGCGUAGGCGGUCUGUCACGGUCGGCUGUGAAAACCUGGGGCUCAACUCCGGGCCUGCAGCCGAUACGGGCAGACUAGAGUUCGGCAGGGGAGACUGGAAUUCCGUGGUGUAGCGGUGAAAUGCGUAGAUAAUCGGGAGGAACACCUGCGGUGUAGACGGCUUUCUGGACCAUUGUUGACGCUGAGACACGAAAGCGUGGGUAGCAAACAGG